GGAAAAGGAAAAGGAUCAGUGCCUCAGUGAGGUUUCGUGAGGAGUGAUGGGAGUCGCGGGGGCAGGAGAGCUGAUUAUGUAGAUGUGUUUCCGCUCCUGGCUGGCUGGGGAUGGAUGGCUUCCAUGAACCCUCUGGCCUGGACCCCUUCGGCAUUUGCUGCCUCACAAGUGGCUGGGGGCCGUUUUUCAAGUUCAGGAGGAAAGCGAUGAGCAGUGUCUCCAUCUGUAAGAUGGAGGCAAGGGAGCUGCCUUGAAGUUUUGCUGCAAACCCACAAUGAUGCUUUGGAUGCUCAAGUCAUUGAAAAGCUUCCCACCAGCGGCCAAGGAGAGCAGAGCCUGCGGUGGGGUCUACUGCGGAGUGAGGCUGCGGAGUGGACCUGAGAAGCACGGGGAGGGGACCCCACGGGUCGCUGUGACCUCCUGAGCCGCACGUCCCAACACUGAGCGGCCCCAAGGGCUGGAAGUUCUUCCUGUGAGCGAGCCCUCUGGACUUCUCUAUAAAUCCUCCCCACUUAACUGCAGGCCCUGGACACGAGACUGCACAGGAGAGGUAAGUGGGAGGCAGUCAGGGUGAUCACAAUUAGUGGUAGCUGUUGGCUUCGCAUGACCUAUCCGCAUUUGUGUAGCGCGUUUUCUCUUUGUCUUUGUUGAUUCCCCGUGUCCGUGAACAGUAAGACACUGCUGUUUCCGCUGGUUCUGCCCACUGCUCACUACUCAUUCUGUGCCCUCACCUCCUCGCCUCAGAUAAAAGGCUGAUCAAAUGGGUCCAGUAUUUCCCUAUGUGAAGUUCCCUAGACCUUGUGGACACCUGCAAAGGCCUAGAGCUGAAUCACCACUGAUUCCCUUUACAUCCAGCAUUUUCCUUUCCAGGGCCCUCAGCCCCUAGGCGUGUCCAGCAAGGAGGGCCAGAGACUUUCACUUCCACUUAGCUGGCGG
rnacentral:lncRNA from 1 species